rnacentral:rRNA from 1 species
AUUGAACGCUGGCGGCAGGCCUAACACAUGCAAGUCGAGCGGAUGAGUGGAGCUUGCUCCAUGAUUCAGCGGCGGACGGGUGAGUAGUGCCUAGGAAUCUGCCUGGUAGUGGGGGACAACGUUUCGAAAGGAACGCUAAUACCGCAUACGUCCUACGGGAGAAAGUGGGGGAUCUUCGGACCUCACGCUAUCAGAUGAGCCUAGGUCGGAUUAGCUAGUUGGUGAGGUAAAGGCUCACCAAGGCGACGAUCCGUAACUGGUCUGAGAGGAUGAUCAGUCACACUGGAACUGAGACACGGUCCAGACUCCUACGGGAGGCAGCAGUGGGGAAUAUUGGACAAUGGGCGAAAGCCUGAUCCAGCCAUGCCGCGUGUGUGAAGAAGGUCUUCGGAUUGUAAAGCACUUUAAGUUGGGAGGAAGGGCAGUAAGUUAAUACCUUGCUGUUUUGACGUUACCAACAGAAUAAGCACCGGCUAACUUCGUG